CACGUUCCAUUCGGCAUUGGGAAGAGGAUGUGCAUCGGGCGCCGCGUCGCAGAGCUACAGCUUCACUUGGCCCUUUGCUGGCUCAUUCGCAAGUACCAAAUUGUAGCAACUGACAACAAACCAGUAGAAACACUCCAUUCGGGAAUACUGAUUCCCAGCAGGGAGCUUCCCAUUGCGUUUCACAGACGAUAAGCUUGCAGAAAAUAAAUGACAACCCUGCUGCUUCCUUGUCUGAAAAAAUAUACAUCGAUUGGGAAAGCCAAAGCCUAGGGUAACCAGUGGAGAAACUGCAACACGUGUCCCUUGAACAACUGCGGAGCCAGAAAUAGUACCAAGAAAAGCUCCCAUACUGUUUUAUUGGAAAAAUGUGGUUAGUUCAGCUGUACUUAGCAAUGUUAAAAGGAAAGAAAAAUACCAUGCACAUUUAUAUACCUAUGCAAAUAUACUGAUUUAGUGCAGCUGAGGGACUGUACAGGAUAGAGCUUGGUAAUGAGCUGUGGAGUGUUCUGUACAGUUCUUGUUAGUGCACAGGGAAAUUAUUACAGCCUCAAGCUGUUCAACAGGCUGCCUUGGAAAGAGCUGUUUUCCAGUUUGUGGGGAUUGUAGAGGACACCUGAGGGAACGACAGUCACGGCUGAACUGGCCCAGUUGGCUCAGAGUUGAAUCACUCUGAAAAGUCAGUUUAAGGGAAAAGAAACUCGCUUAGUCCUUAUCAAAUUGCUAAUGUCAUUAAUUAAAUUGAGAAGUAAGAUGGCAGUCUGUAAUAAAGCUAAUAACGGGGUUUAAAAAUUAGGAUACUUAAAGAAGUAUAUUUUCCCUGACGCUGCUCACUCCCUUAAUAAAAGGGAAAUAAGGACAAAGGUAGCUAACAGGAUUUAUUUGUCAUGCCUGCACAGUACUUUGAUUUGAACUGUGCGGUUCAAAUCAAUAUACUGUUGCAAUACUGUGCCUGCCACAUACUCUGCUCAUAUCCAUAAAGUUUCAUGCCUUCAACUCCCACACAAGCCAUUUUAUCACACCUUUAUUGUCAAACCUUAGUGGUCUUUUAUUACAUGAAAGGCCUUCUCCAUAAAUGGAAUCAUUGGAAUCCUAUGGGUUCUGCCACUAUUUAAUGAUGGUUAUCCUAACAGGAUAGUUACUUCAUCAUAUGAGUAACAUAAAAUGUAUGUUUCACAGAACCACAGGAAAUAAGGAUCAUAAACAUUUCGAAGAGGUCUAUUUCCUGUGGAGAUUUCAAUACCUGUAUCUAAGGGUUAAAGCUGUCACUGCCCUGCACGCAACACCGUAUGUUAGCUAUUAUGGUCACUAGUCUAUUUGUCCCAUUGAUGCAGUUUCAAGUACAGGUUUAUAUAUACAGCCAUGAAUGGUUAUUUUUAUUUUUUUUACAUUCUGAAAUGAUACAUGUUUUUAGCAUUUGUUAGUCUGUCUCCUGAAUUCUUUUUUAUUUGUUUUCCUCUGCUGUUAUAUUCAGACAUGUACA